AUAUCAGUGUCGAAAUGUAGUCAUGGGUUUCAUAUUCAAUGACUUAAAUUAUUAUAGUACGAAAUAUUAUUACGAACGAAAUUUGCAGGGACUUACACUACACGAGUUUGACAAACACUCAAAGAGGCAAAAAGGAUAAAAGAAAUCUGAAGACGUUAGAAGCUAUAUUAUAGACAAGGCUCGACGAUAUAAAGUAAAGCAUAACUAAUGAAAAGGUGACAGUUAUUCCACUGACAGGUGUUCUUUGUUAUUUAUUGUCAAAAUUUCAAAUGUUGUAUAUAUUCUUGAGCAUUUGGCUUAUUGCCAAAUUGAGAUUUGAAAUAAACCAAGUAGCUUAUGUAAAGACAUUAUUAAUGGUUCGUCAAUAUGAAUAGAACCUGCGGGAUCCAUGUAAAUACAAUUCCUACAUUAUGUGUGGUGCCUAACUAUAACG